rnacentral:rRNA from 1 species
UACAGGGGGGGCAAGCGUUGUUCGGAAUUACUGGGCGUAAAGGGCUCGUAGGCGGCCAACUAAGUCCGACGUGAAAUCCCAAAGCUUAACUUUGGAACUGCGUCGGAUACUGGAUGGCUUGAAUUCGGGAGAGGGAUGCAGAAUUCCAGGUGUAGCAGUGAAAUGCGUAGAUAUCAAGUGGAACACCAGUGGCGAAGGCGAGUCUCUGGACGAUUCCUGACACUGAGGCACGAAAGCCAGGGGAGCAAACGGG